AUUGAACGCUGGCGGCAGGCCUAACACAUGCAAGUCGAACGAGUGGCGGACGGGUGAGUAAUGUCUGGGAAACUGCCCGAUGGAGGGGGAUAAAUACUGGAAAAGGUAGCUAAUACCGCAUACCAUCGGAUGUGCCCAGAUGGGAUUAGCUAGUAGGUGGGGUAACGGAUCACCUAGGCGCCGAUCCCUAGCUGGUCUGAGAGGAUGAACAGCCACACUGGAACUGAGACACGGUCCAGACUCCUACGUGAGGCAGCAGUGGGGAAUAUUGCACAAUGGGCGCAAGCCUGAUGCAGCCAUGCCGCGUGUAGUAAGAAGGCCGUCGGGUUGUAAAGUUCUUUCGGUGGCGAGGCGUUACCUACAGAAGAAGCACCGGCUAACUCCGUGCCAGCAGCCGCGGUAAUUC
rnacentral:rRNA from 1 species